AGUGAACGCUGGCGGCAGGCCUAACACAUGCAAGUCGAGCGAGCGGCGCACGGGUGAGGAAUGUAUGGGGACUGCCCGAUUGAGGGGGAUAACUAAUGGAAACGGUAGCUAAUACCGCAUACUAUCGGAUAACCAAUAUGGGAUUAGCUAGUAGGUGAGGUACUGGCGCACCUAGGCGACGAUCCCUAGCUUGUCAGAGAGGAUGAUCAGUCACACUGCGACUUAGACACGCACCAGACUCCGACGGAGGCAGCAGUGGGAAAUAUUGCACAAGGGGCGCUAGCUUUACUCACCCAUGCCGCGUAUAUGAAGAGGGCCCUAGGGUUGUAAAGUACUUUCAGUCGGGAGGCGUUACCGACAGAAGAAGCAACGGCUAACUCCGGGCCAGCAGCCGCGGUAAUUC
rnacentral:rRNA from 1 species